UAAGCGGAGGAAAAGAAACUAACAAGGAUUCCCCUAGUAACUGCGAGUGAAGCGGGAAAAGCUCAAAUUUGGAAUCUGGUGGUCUUUGGCCAUCCGAGUUGUAAUUUAGAGAAGCGUCUUCCGCGCUGGGCCGUGCACAAGUCUCCUGGAAUGGAGCGUCACAGAGGGUGAGAAUCCCGUCUUUGGCAUGGACACACCAGGGCUUUUGUGAUGCGCUCUCGAAGAGUCGAGUUGUUUGGGAAUGCAGCUCAAAAUGGGUGGUGAACUCCAUCUAAAGCUAAAUAUUGGCGAGAGACCGAUAGCGAACAAGUACCGUGAGGGAAAGAUGAAAAGCACUUUGGAAAGAGAGUGAAACAGUACGUGAAAUUGUUGAAAGGGAAACGCUUGAAGUCAGUCGCGUCGACCGAGACUCAGCCUUGCCUUGGCUUGGUGUACUUCUCGGCCGACGGGUCAGCAUCAAUUUUGCCCCUUGGAUAAUGAUGAGGGAAACGUGACACCUUUAUGGUGUGUUAUAGUCUCUUGUCGCAUGCAAGGGUCGGGAUUGAGGAACUCAGCACGCACCUUUGGGUGUCGGGGCUUUGCCCACGAUACGUGCUUAGGAUGUUGGCGUAAUGGCUUUAAACGACC
rnacentral:rRNA from 1 species